rnacentral:rRNA from 1 species
AACGAACGCUGGCGGCGUGGAUAAGACAUGCAAGUCGAACGGGAUAUUUUUGUAGCAAUACCGAAAUGUUCAGUGGCGAACGGGUGCGUAACACGUGGGUAACAUGCCGGGAAGAGGAGAAUAGCCCAGGGAAACUUGGAUUAAUGCUCCAUGUGGUCGCAAGACUAAAGACGGGGUAACCUGUCGCUUCCUGAUUGGCCCGCGGCCUAUCAGCUAGUUGGCGAGGUAACGGCUCACCAAGGCAACGACGGGUAGCUGGUCUGAGAGGAUGACCAGCCACACUGGAACUGAGACACGGUCCAGACACCUACGGGUGGCAGCAGUCGAGAAUCUUUCACAAUGGGGGCAACCCUGAUGGAGCGACGCCGCGUGGAGGAUAAGGUCUUCGGAUUGUAAACUCCUGUCAUGCGAGAGUAAGGCCCCGCGUUAACUGCGUGUGGGAUUGACAGUACCGCAAGAGGAAGAGACGGCUAACUCUGUGCCAGCCGCCGCAGUAACAC